GGUUAAGCGACUAAGCGUACACGGUGGAUGCCCUGGCAGUCAGAGGCGAUGAAGGACGUGCUAAUCUGCGAUAAGCGUCGGUAAGGUGAUAUGAACCGUUAUAACCGGCGAUUUCCGAAUGGGGAAACCCAGUGUGUUUCGACACACUAUCAUUAACUGAAUCCAUAGGUUAAUGAGGCGAACCGGGGGAACUGAAACAUCUAAGUACCCCGAGGAAAAGAAAUCAACCGAGAUUCCCCCAGUAGCGGCGAGCGAACGGGGAGCAGCCCAGAGCCUGAAUCAGUGUGUGUGUUAGUGGAAGCGUCUGGAAAGGCGCGCGAUACAGGGUGACAGCCCCGUACACAAAAAUGCACAUACUGUGAGCUCGAUGAGUAGGGCGGGACACGUGGUAUCCUGUCUGAAUAUGGGGGGACCAUCCUCCAAGGCUAAAUACUCCUGACUGACCGAUAGUGAACCAGUACCGUGAGGGAAAGGCGAAAAGAACCCCGGCGAGGGGAGUGAAAAAGAACCUGAAACCGUGUACGUACAAGCAGUGGGAGCACGCUUAGGCGUGUGACUGCGUACCUUUUGUAUAAUGGGUCAGCGACUUAUAUUCUGUAGCAAGGUUAACCGAAUAGGGGAGCCGAAGGGAAACCGAGUCUUAACUGGGCGUUAAGUUGCAGGGUAUAGACCCGAAACCCGGUGAUCUAGCCAUGGGCAGGUUGAAGGUUGGGUAACACUAACUGGAGGACCGAACCGACUAAUGUUGAAAAAUUAGCGGAUGACUUGUGGCUGGGGGUGAAAGGCCAAUCAAACCGGGAGAUAGCUGGUUCUCCCCGAAAGCUAUUUAGGUAGCGCCUCGUGAAUUCAUCUCCGGGGGUAGAGCACUGUUUCGGCAAGGGGGUCAUCCCGACUUACCAACCCGAUGCAAACUGCGAAUACCGGAGAAUGUUAUCACGGGAGACACACGGCGGGUGCUAACGUCCGUCGUGAAGAGGGAAACAACCCAGACCGCCAGCUAAGGUCCCAAAGUCAUGGUUAAGUGGGAAACGAUGUGGGAAGGCCCAGACAGCCAGGAUGUUGGCUUAGAAGCAGCCAUCAUUUAAAGAAAGCGUAAUAGCUCACUGGUCGAGUCGGCCUGCGCGGAAGAUGUAACGGGGCUAAACCAUGCACCGAAGCUGCGGCAGCGACGCUUAUGCGUUGUUGGGUAGGGGAGCGUUCUGUAAGCCUGUGAAGGUGUGCUGUGAGGCAUGCUGGAGGUAUCAGAAGUGCGAAUGCUGACAUAAGUAACGAUAAAGCGGGUGAAAAGCCCGCUCGCCGGAAGACCAAGGGUUCCUGUCCAACGUUAAUCGGGGCAGGGUGAGUCGACCCCUAAGGCGAGGCCGAAAGGCGUAGUCGAUGGGAAACAGGUUAAUAUUCCUGUACUUGGUGUUACUGCGAAGGGGGGACGGAGAAGGCUAUGUUGGCCGGGCGACGGUUGUCCCGGUUUAAGCGUGUAGGCUGGUUUUCCAGGCAAAUCCGGAAAAUCAAGGCUGAGGCGUGAUGACGAGGCACUACGGUGCUGAAGCAACAAAUGCCCUGCUUCCAGGAAAAGCCUCUAAGCAUCAGGUAACAUCAAAUCGUACCCCAAACCGACACAGGUGGUCAGGUAGAGAAUACCAAGGCGCUUGAGAGAACUCGGGUGAAGGAACUAGGCAAAAUGGUGCCGUAACUUCGGGAGAAGGCACGCUGAUAUGUAGGUGAAGUCCCUCGCGGAUGGAGCUGAAAUCAGUCGAAGAUACCAGCUGGCUGCAACUGUUUAUUAAAAACACAGCACUGUGCAAACACGAAAGUGGACGUAUACGGUGUGACGCCUGCCCGGUGCCGGAAGGUUAAUUGAUGGGGUCAGCGCAAGCGAAGCUCUUGAUCGAAGCCCCGGUAAACGGCGGCCGUAACUAUAACGGUCCUAAGGUAGCGAAAUUCCUUGUCGGGUAAGUUCCGACCUGCACGAAUGGCGUAAUGAUGGCCAGGCUGUCUCCACCCGAGACUCAGUGAAAUUGAACUCGCUGUGAAGAUGCAGUGUACCCGCGGCAAGACGGAAAGACCCCGUGAACCUUUACUAUAGCUUGACACUGAACAUUGAGCCUUGAUGUGUAGGAUAGGUGGGAGGCUUAGAAGUGUGGACGCCAGUCUGCAUGGAGCCGACCUUGAAAUACCACCCUUUAAUGUUUGAUGUUCUAACGUUGACCCGUAAUCCGGGUUGCGGACAGUGUCUGGUGGGUAGUUUGACUGGGGCGGUCUCCUCCUAAAGAGUAACGGAGGAGCACGAAGGUUGGCUAAUCCUGGUCGGACAUCAGGAGGUUAGUGCAAUGGCAUAAGCCAGCUUGACUGCGAGCGUGACGGCGCGAGCAGGUGCGAAAGCAGGUCAUAGUGAUCCGGUGGUUCUGAAUGGAAGGGCCAUCGCUCAACGGAUAAAAGGUACUCCGGGGAUAACAGGCUGAUACCGCCCAAGAGUUCAUAUCGACGGCGGUGUUUGGCACCUCGAUGUCGGCUCAUCACAUCCUGGGGCUGAAGUAGGUCCCAAGGGUAUGGCUGUUCGCCAUUUAAAGUGGUACGCGAGCUGGGUUUAGAACGUCGUGAGACAGUUCGGUCCCUAUCUGCCGUGGGCGCUGGAGAACUGAGGGGGGCUGCUCCUAGUACGAGAGGACCGGAGUGGACGCAUCACUGGUGUUCGGGUUGUCAUGCCAAUGGCACUGCCCGGUAGCUAAAUGCGGAAGAGAUAAGUGCUGAAAGCAUCUAAGCACGAAACUUGCCCCGAGAUGAGUUCUCCCUGACUCCUUGAGAGUCCUGAAGGAACGUUGAAGACGACGACGUUGAUAGGCCGGGUGUGUAAGCGCAGCGAUGCGUUGAGCUAACCGGUACUAAUGAACCGUGAGGCUUAACCUU
rnacentral:rRNA from 1 species